rnacentral:lncRNA from 1 species
UCCAAGCAAACUGCACUCUGAAAUUCUUGUGGUGGAUUCUUGUAUCCUAUGCACACGAUCAUGAAAAAGUGAAGCAGUGUAGCUUUUGUUUUUGUUUGAAUAGUAACUGUAACCGUGACUCUCUGGCUGAUACUGUAGUUGUCAGUUGCCCUUGGUUUGUCCUGCGGGUUAUCAUUGAAGGUACACACGUUCAAACACACAAUCACCAGGGUGUGUACACACAGGCUUGUCCCAGUGACAGAAGUAAACAGGCAGACACAACCUUUUCAUGUCCCUGCUGCCGGUCAUAAAUCCUGUUCUCUGAAACACAAGAGAAUAAUAGCCACUGUGUUCUGAGGCAAGAGGGAGCCAGGAACAAGAUGAUCACACACAAGUUUUUUUCAACUGAAAACUGACCCAAACCACUGGUCUGGAAGCCAACUGGUCCUCUACCCUGAUUAUGUCGCUGAAAUCCCUCCUGGAGCAGAGUACACAGCGCUGCAGCACUGGCAACCAUCCUAGACACCUUCCACACAUCCACAAAAAGAACACAAGGUAUGUCAAAGGGCAGGAGGUAUGUUAUAUAGUAGAGAAAAGCUUCAUAGUGAAAUCAAUGAGGAGAAGAGAAGGAAGGCCCAGGUAUAAUAAAAAGGUAUAGUGCCUAGUCCCUGUUUGGGUAGUUUCUAUUUUUUUGGAGUUGUAACGGAGAUAAGAACAUACCAAGAGCUAAUUCCACAGCUAGCUUGAAAUGUCGAAAAUUGUCCCUUUUUGUGCUUUAUCUCAAAUGGUUGAAACAAUAUCCAGGAGGGCAGUAAUGUGUUUUGAAAAGCGGAGUACAACUGGUUUGCGCCCAGUGUGGGGCAGGUAUACUGUGAAUGGAGGAAGUUAAGCUUCCUCCAUUCACACACAGGGUCGCAACUGACAUGGGGAAAGGUGGAUAUGAUUCACAGGGCCCAUGGCUUGGCUGGUUUAUUUGUUAAAUGCACCAAACAACACAGCAUCAUCCUUUACAAUGAAAUUCUUAUGACAUGGCACCUAAUAAACUACGUAGUUAGAGUUAAGAAGAAGAAUAUAUCAGCAAAAAUAUACCUAGACAGAAAAUAAUAAAAUAAAGCAACAAUAUUCUUUACACUCUGCAGUAGCAGCCAUUUAAAAGAGAGUACUGUAAACUAGCAGCAAUCUGGGUAGUAUUUUAAUAGAGCAGCAAUAUGGGUAGUAUUAUUGAACAUUUAAGUAUGGCAGUAAUAUACACAAGUGUGACCUAGCAGUAAUUGAUGGAGUUAUUGAAAUAUUAUAUACGCUCAUGAAUGGUGGCAUAUGACACUACAACUAUGUAGUGAGAAUUAAGAAGAAGAAAAUGUAUAUACAGCUUUAAAUACAGCUCUGGAAAAUGUAAAAGACCCCUGCACCUUUUUCUUUCCUUUCCAAAAAAGUUGAAAAGGAAGGUUUUGAGUGAGUGAGCGUUACAUUUUCAGAAGUUUCCAAAUUUUAACACUUCUGUUCCUCACUCAAAACCUUCCUUUUCAACACUGUUCAUAGGAGCAUUAUAAAAAGAGUACUGUAGAUUAGCAGUACCUGAAAGGCAUCAGAGCAUCUGGAAUGUUCGUGUGCUGAUUGAGGAGCCUCAUGGCCUGAAGGAAAAAAACGAUUUGUUUCUGGAAGUGCAUGCUCCG